rnacentral:tRNA from 1 species
GGCAUUCUAGGCCAAUGCGAUACCAACUAGGCCUAGAAUGCCGAAGACGCUGGUUCGAAUCCAGCCGGUGCCC